AUACGGAGGAUCCGAGCGUUAUCCGGAUUUAUUGGGUUUAAAGGGUGCGCAGGCGGCCAUUUAAGUCAGCGGUUAAAUCGUGGGGCUCAACCCCAUUCUGCCGUUGAUACUGGGUGGCUUGAUUGCGGUCGAGGUUGGCGGAAUUCGUUGUGUAGCGGUGAAAUGCAUAGAUAUGGCGAAGAACACCGAUUGCGUAGGCAGCUGACCAGACCGCAAAUGACGCUCAUGCACGAAAGUGCGGGGAUCGAACAGGAUUAGAUACCCUGGUAGUCCGCACAGUAAACGAUGAAUACUUGUUUUCGGCGAUAUAAUGUCGGAGGCAAAGCGAAAGCGAUAAGUAUUCCACCUGGGGAGUACGCCGGCAACGGUGAAACUCAAAUGAAUUGACGGGG
rnacentral:rRNA from 1 species